UACGGAGGGUGCGAGCGUUGUCCGGAAUCAUUGGGCGUAAAGGGCGCGUAGGUGGCCCCUCAAGCGUGCGGUGAAAGUCAGGGGCUCAACCCCUGAUCGGCCGUGCGAACUGGGGAGCUUGAGCACUGUAGAGGCAGGCGGAAUUCCGGGUGUAGCGGUGAAAUGCGCAGAUAUCGGGAGGAACACCAAUUGCGGAAGGCAGCUUGCUGGGACGAUACUGACGCUGAGGCGCGAAAGCGUGGGGAGCAAACAGG
rnacentral:rRNA from 1 species